GACGAACGCUGGCGGCGUGCUUAACACAUGCAAGUCGAACGGGACGGCCCUGCUUUUGUGGGGUGCUCGAGUGGCGAACGGGUGAGUAACACGUGAGUAACCUGUCCCUGACUGUAGGAUAACUUAAGACCACUGGGGCUCAUACCGGCUAGGAUCUCCUGCUGCAUGGUGGGGGUUGGUAAGUUUCGGCGGUUGGGGAUGGACUCGCGGCGUAUCAGCUUGUUGGUUGGGUAGUGGCUUACCAAGGCUUUGACGGGUAGCCGGCCUGAGAGGGUAACAGGCCACACUAGGACUGAGAUACGGCACAGACUACUACGGGAGGCGGGAGUGGAGAAUAGUGUAUAGUGGGAUGAAGCCUGAUGCAGCAACGCCGCGUGCGGGAUGACGGCAUGCGGGUUGGAAACCGCUGUCGUCUGUGACGAAGCGUGAGUGACGGUAAUGGGUAAAGAAGCACCGGCUAACUACGUG
rnacentral:rRNA from 1 species